AAAAAUCUAUAUGAAAAAUUUUUAUAUAUAAAUAAAUUUUUUAUGAUUUAUAAAAUUUAAUUUAAAUUUAUUUUACAUAUAAAUUUUAGUAUGAAUUUUUAAUUAUUUUAAUAAUUUUUAAAAUAAUUUAUAGUAAUUAACAUUAAAAAUUUAAGAAAUUAAGAUUUAGUAAUAUUUUAAAUUAUUAACAAAUUUUGUGCCAGCAGUUGCGGUUAAACAAAAAAUGAUUUAAAUUUUAUUGGUAAAUAAUAAAUAUUGAUAUUUAAAAUUAAAUAUUAAAUUAUUAGGUGAAAUUUUAAUUUAUACAAAAUUUUUUAAGAUAAUAUGAUUUAUAAAAUUUUUUAAAAAACUAGAAUUAGAUACUCUAUUAUUAAAAAUUAAAUAAAAAUGCUAAAAUAGUAUAUAAUUAUUUAUUGAAACUUAAAUAAUUUGGCGGUAUUUUAGUUCAUUUAGGGGAAUCUGUUUAAUAAUUGAUAUUCCACGAAUAAAUUUACUUAAUUUAUAUAAUUUUGUAUAUCGUUGUUAGAAAAAUAUUUUUUAAUAAAAAUAAUAUUUUAAAAUUUAAAAAUAAAAUUAAUUCAGAUCAAGAUGCAGAUUAUAAUUAAGAAUAUAAUGGAUUACAAUAAGGAAUGAUUAAAUGGAUAAUAUUUUUUAAAAAUUAUUUAAAAGUGGACUUAAAUGUAAUUUUAUUUAAUUUAUUAAAAUGAUUAAAAAUUAAAAUAUGUACAUAUUGCCCGUCGCUUUCAUUAAUAAAUUGGAAUAAGUCGUAACAAAGUAGAAGUACUGGAAAGUGUUUCUAGAAAGAU
rnacentral:ncRNA from 1 species